rnacentral:rRNA from 1 species
UACGAGGGGGGGCGAGCGUUGUUCGGAAUUAUUGGGCGUAAAGGGUGCGUAGGCGGUUUGGUAAGUCUGAUGUGAAAUCUAUGGGCUCAACUCAUAGUCUGCAUCGGAAACUGCCGGGCUUGAGUGUGGGAGAGGUGAGUGGAAUUCCUGGUGUAGCGGUGAAAUGCGCAGAUAUCAGGAGGAACACCGGUGGCGAAGGCGGGUCUCUGGGGCCGUAACUGACGCUGAGGAGCGAAAGCAUGGGGGAGCGAACAGG